ACACAGCCCGGGUCGCAGGCACCUCCCCGCCAGCUCUCCCGCUUCUCGCACAGCUUCCCGACCCGUCUGCUGAGCCCCAUGGCCCGCGCCACGCUCUCCACCGCCCCCAGCAAUCCCCGGCUCCUGCGGGUGGCGCUGCUGCUCCUGCUCCUGGUGGCCGCCGGCCGGCGCGCAGCAGGUGGGUCCCGGCGCCCUGGGGUCCCCAGGCCGGACGCGGCUGGGGUGGGCGCCCCGCGCCAACAGCCCCGCUCAAUCAGCGAGUCUCUUCUUCCCUAGGAGCGUCCGUGGUCACUGAACUGCGCUGCCAGUGCUUGCAGACCCUGCAGGGAAUUCACCUCAAGAACAUCCAAAGUGUGAAUGUGAAGUCCCCAGGACCCCACUGCGCCCAAACCGAAGUCAUAGCCACACUCAAGAAUGGGAAGAAAGCUUGUCUCAACCCGGCAUCCCCCAUGGUUCAGAAAAUCAUCGAAAAGAUACUGAACAAGGGGAGCACCAACUGACAGGAGAGAAGUAAGAAGCUUAUCAGUGUAUCAUUGACACUUCCUGCAGGGUGGUCCCUGCCCUUACCAGAGCUGAAAAUGAAAAAGAGAACAGCAGCUUUCUAGGGACAGCUGGAAAGGACUUAAUGUG
rnacentral:sRNA from 1 species